GCGCUGGUGAUCCAGUGGUUAAGAUACUGCUUUCCCAAAGCAGCUACCCGGGUUCGAAUCCCGGCCGGCGCA
rnacentral:tRNA from 1 species